rnacentral:rRNA from 1 species
AACGAACGCUGGCGGUGUGCUUAACACAUGCAAGUCGAACGAGAACGUUUCUUUCGGGAAACUAGUAAAGUGGCGCAAGGGUGAGUAACACGUGAAUAAUCUGCCCUCGAGAUCGGGAUAACUCCGGGAAACCGGAGCUAAUACCGAAUAAUGCAACGAAUCCUUCGGGAUAUGUUGUUAAAAGCGGGCUUCGGCUCGCACUUUAAGAUGGGCCUGCGUCCGAUUAGCUUGUUGGCGGAUAACAGCCCACCAAGGCGACGAUGGUUAGCCGGCCUGAGAGGGUGAUCGGCCACACUGGAACUGAGACACGGUCCAGACUCCUACGGAGGCAGCAGUUUCGAAUCAUUCACAAUGGGCGAAAGCCUGAUGGUGCAACGCCGCGUGGGGGAUG